UACGUAGGGGGCAAGCGUUGUUCGGAAUUACUGGGCGUAAAGGGCUCGUAGGCGGCCAACUAAGUCGGAUGUGAAAUCCCCAGGCUUAACCUGGGAACUGCAUCCGAUACUGGAUGGCUUGAAUCCGGGAGAGGGAUGCAGAAUUCCAGGUGUAGCGGUGAAAUGCGUAGAUAUCGGGAGGAACACCAGUGGCGAAGGCGACUACCUGGCCUGUUCUUGACGCUGAGGCGCGAAAGCUAGGGGAGCAAACGGGG
rnacentral:rRNA from 1 species